AUACCAAAACAUACCAUUUUGAAGGAAACUGAGCAGGAAUUCGAUGCUGAUCAUGAAUUAGUAUUCGAUGUGACCUGGGAUAUGGCUGUAAAUGGCAUUUCUACACGAUUUCUACAUUGGUGCAUUGGACGAGAGGGUGAGUCCACAAAGCGCCUUCAGAACUGAUGUGCCAGCUCAUACACAGAACUUGAGACCUUCGGGACAAGAUUCUUGUUGCGCGAGGCUGUGGCCUUUGGCAUGGACCUUUGGGUCCGGCCACUGCCAUGGCCCUCAUUGCGUCCCACGCUGUUUUCUUCUUUCCCGUCCGCUUGCCGUCGGUACGUCGGUACAAGGGAUGUGCUCUUGGUUGGACUGUGCAGCCACUGGUUGUCCUGCUGCGGGUCAUAGCCAUUUUUGAUUCACGCCCACGGGAAAUAAUGUCAGCAACCCUCCCAUUCAGACGCCGCCGAAUCAAACGCUGGGAUUCAGCUUCGAGACGCAGAACUUACGAAUGGAGUCCUAUCCAAGCAUUACCGAGGCGUAUUCGAGACAGACCGAGGCCCAUCCCAGCAGGACAGAAGCGCACCCCUUGCAAGAUCAGAACCCAACAAGCCAUCAUCCUUCGAUCUGGCCAUCGAUAACAAGGACUUUGAAUAUAGAAACCAAGGGAGGGGGUAGAUAGAUAUAGUUGUUGUUAGGUUUAAGGAUAUACGUAUAUAUAUAUUUAGAUAGU
rnacentral:misc_RNA from 1 species